rnacentral:rRNA from 1 species
UUGUCCUACGGGGGGCAGCAGUGGGGAAUAUUGGACAAUGGGGGAAACCCUGAUCCAGCGACGCCGCGUGAGUGAAGAAGUAUUUCGGUACGUAAAGCUCUAUCAGCAGGAAAGAAAAUGACGGUACCUGACUAAGAAGCCCCGGCUAACUACGUGCCAGCAGCCGCGGUAAUACGUAGGGGGCAAGCGUUAUCCGGAUUUACUGGGUGUAAAGGGAGCGUAGACGGCAGCGCAAGUCUGGAGUGAAAUCCCAUGGCUUAACCAUGGAACUGCUUUGGAAACUGUGCAGCUAGAGUGACGGAAGG